UCAGCCGUACUCCGAAUGCUCUAGAUUAAAGUUUGAUCAUGGCUCAGNCUUGAACGCUGGCGGCAGGCCUAACACAUGCAAGUCGAGCGGUAGCACAGGAGAGCUUGCUCUCCGGGUGACGAGCGGCGGACGGGUGAGUAAUGUCUGGGAAGCUGCCUGAUGGAGGGGGAUAACUACUGGAAACGGUAGCUAAUACCGCAUAACGUCUUCGGACCAAAGUGGGGACCUUCGGGCCUCUUGCCAUCGGAUGUGCCCAGAUGGGAUUAGCUAGUAGGUGGGGUAACGGCUCACCUAGGCGACGAUCCCUAGCUGGUCUGGGAGGAUGACCAGCCACACUGGAACUGAGACACGGUCCAGACUCCUACGGGAGGCAGCAGUGGGGAAUAUUGCACAAUGGGCGCAAGCCUGAUGCAGCCAUGCCGCGUGUAUGAAGAAGGCCUUCGGGUUGUAAAGUACUUUUGUUGGGAAAGAAAUCCAGCUGGCUAAUACCCGGUUGGGAUGACGGUACCCAAAGAAUAAGCACCGGCUAACUUCGUGCCAGCAGCCGCGGUAAUACGAAGGGUGCAAAGCGUUACUCGGAAUUACUGGGCGUAAGCGUGCGUAAGUGGNCCGUUUAAGUUCCGUUGGUGAAAGGCCUUGGGGCUCAACUUGGGAACUGCCGGUGGAUACUGGACGACUAGGUGUUGGUCACGGGUUNCGGGAAUCCCUGGUGUUCGGAAAUUCGGUUGAGUCGGGGGGGGCAUCCUUCGCGGAGGGGCGCUCCNUGGCCACCCUUGGCUUGGCNGCNUUUGUNGCCUCUUGGUAUCUUUCNGUGUUCGCCCAUACGAGNAGUANUCUGGUUUGAUGGGCCGUGCUUUGUAAGUCUCUUUGUNGUGGGUUGGUGGCANNUAUAGGCNGUCGGGAGUGUUUCGCGUCUCAUAUUGUUNACUGGAUCGUNNUCNGNGC
rnacentral:rRNA from 1 species